GACGAACGCUGGCGGCGUGCCUAAUACAUGCAAGUUGAGCGCUGAAGGUUGGUACUUGUACCGACUGGAUGAGCAGCGCACGGGUGAGUAACGCGUGGGGAAUCUGCCUUUGAGCGGGGGACAACAUGUGGAAACGAAUGCUAAUACCGCAUAAAAACUUUAAACACAAGUUUUAAGUUUGAAAGAUGCAAUUGCAUCACUCAAAGAUGAUCCCGCGUUGUAUUAGCUAGUUGGUGAGGUAAAGGCUCACCAAGGCGAUGAUACAUAGCCGACCUGAGAGGGUGAUCGGCCACAUUGGGACUGAGACACGGCACAAACGCCUACGGGAGGCAGCAGUAGGGAAUCUUCGGCAAGAGACGAAAGUCUGACCGAGCAACGCGGAGUGAGGGAAGAAGGUCUUCGGAUCGUAAAACUCUGUUGGUAGAGAAGAACGUUGGUGAGAGUGGAAAGCUCAUCAAGUGACGGUAACUACCCAGAAAGGGACGGCUAACUACGUG
rnacentral:rRNA from 1 species